ACAAACUUGGUCAUUUAGAGGAAGUAAAAGUCGUAACAAGGUUUCCGUAGGUGAACCUGCGGAAGGAUCAUUAACAAUUAUCCUGUUUUUUAUGGGUAAUUUAUCCAUAUACACCUUGUGUGAAUUAUUGAAGUGUGAGUUGGCAGGUAGACCUUGGUUUUUAAGCGCGGGACGCGUAGAGUUUCAAGUUUACCACUUGUGGGGAGACUCUUGAUAUCUCUCGGCCUGCCAAUUUUAUUUGUCUCGACAUGUCUAUAUCACUUUAGUCUGAAAUAUAAAUAAUAAUUAAUUAAAUACAACUUUCAACAACGGAUCUCUUGGCUCUCGCAUCGAUGAAGAACGCAGC
rnacentral:misc_RNA from 1 species